ACCUCAAAGCUAGCCAAAACUAUCUACCAUUAACUUAUUCCUAUUAAGCCAACACCACCAUCAAUCCUUAAAUCUUAAAACAUUUUACCCUUCUCAGUAUAGGCGAUAGAACAGAAACAUUGAGCCAUAGAAAUUANUACCGCAAGGGAAAGCUGAAAAAGAAAUGAAACAAAUCAUUAAAGUACAAAAAAGCAGAGACCAGCCCUCGUACCUUUUGCAUCAUGAUUUAGCAAGAACAAUUAGGCAAAAAGCUUUUUAGCCUAACCUCCCGAAACCAAGCGAGCUACUUCGGAGCAGCAUAAUAGAGCCAACCCACCUCUGUGGCAAAAGAGGGGGAAGACUUCCAAGUAGCNGUGAUAACCUACCGAGCCUGGUGAUAGCUGGUUAUCCAAAAAAAGAACUUAAAUUCUGCAUUAAUUAUUCAAUAACUAGUUAACCAUAAACUUUUAAACAAAAACCUAUUGUAAAAAUUAAUAGUUAUUCAAAAAAGGUACAGCUUUUUUGAACCAAGAAACAACUUUCCUGGGAGGGUAAUGAUCACAAACAUUAAAGGUUAACUCCUCAGUAGGCCUAGAAGCAGCCAUCUGUAAAGAAAGCGUUAUAGCUCAAGAUUCAUCCCAACCAACAAUCCCAAUAUAAAAUCACAACCCCCCAAACUACUAUUGGAUUAUUUUAUUAACAUAAAAGAAAUUAUGCUAAAAUGAGUAAUAAGGGGCUAAACCCCUCCCCUACACCAGUGUAUGUCAGAAAGAAUUAAAUCACUGACAAUUAACCGAUGUCAAACUUGAGACCAUUGUGGCAUAAAAACAACUAACAAGAAAAACCCACCCUCAAAAACCAUCGUUAACCCCACACAGGAGUGUAUUUAGGAAAGAUUAAAAGAAAAUAAAGGAACUCGGCAAACACUAACUCCGCCUGUUUACCAAAAACAUCGCCUCUUGCCCAACACUNGUAUAAGAGGUCCCCGCCUGCCCUGUGAAUCUUUAACGGCCGCGGUAUCUUGACCGUGCGAAGGUAGCGUAAUCAAUUGCCUUUUAAUUGAAGGCCAGUAUGAAAGGCAUCACGAGAGUUUAUCUGUCUCUAUUUUCUGAUCAAUGAAAUUGAUCCCCUCGUGCAGAAGCGAGAAUAAAAACAUAAGACGAGAAGACCCUAUGGAGCUUAAAACACUUAAGCCACUCUUAAUACCCAAACACCCUCCUACGGAUAUAAAACAAAUUAUAGCCCCUGGCUUAACUUGUUUUUGGUUGGGGCGACCGAGGGGCAAAACAAAACCCCCUUAUCGAACGUGUGAAAAAUCACUUAAAAAUUAGAACCACUAUUCUAAUCAAUAGAAAAUCUAACGAACAAUGACCCAGGGAAUUUAUACCCUGAUCAAUGAACCAAGUUACCCUAGGGAUAACAGCGCAAUCCUUUCUUAGAGCCCCCAUCGCCGAAAGGGUUUACGACCUCGAUGUUGGAUCAGGACAUCCUAUUGGUGUAGCUGCUAUUAAGGGUU
rnacentral:rRNA from 1 species